rnacentral:rRNA from 1 species
ACGAACGCUGGCGGCGUGCUUAACACAUGCAAGUCGAACGGAAAGGCCCUGCUUUUGUGGGGUGCUCGAGUGGCGAACGGGUGAGUAACACGUGAGUAACCUGCCCUUGACUUUGGGAUAACUUCAGGAAACUGGGGCUAAUACCGGAUAGGAGCUCCUGCUGCAUGGUGGGGGUUGGAAAGUUUCGGCGGUUGGGGAUGGACUCGCGGCUUAUCAGCUUGUUGGUGGGGUAGUGGCUUACCAAGGCUUUGACGGGUAGCCGGCCUGAGAGGGUGACCGGCCACAUUGGGACUGAGAUACGGCCCAGACUCCUACGGGAGGCAGCAGUGGGGAAUAUUGCACAAUGGGCGGAAGCCUGAUGCAGCAACGCCGCGUGCGGGAUGACGGCCUUCGGGUUGUAAACCGCUUUCGCCUGUGACGAAGCGUGAGUGACGGUAAUGGGUAAAGAAGCACCGGCGAACUACGU